rnacentral:tRNA from 1 species
GACCGCGUAGCUCAGUUGGAAGAGCAUUGGGCUAGUAUUCCAAAGGUCGUAGGUUCGAAUCCCACAUUGGCCA